AUAUAACAAUUGAAUGGAGAAAGAAAACUUACCCUUUAUUGAUUAAAUUAACAGUUUAUGUAUAAAUUUAUUUCAUAGAAUAAAAAUAUGUCAACCAACAAUUGGCUUCUAAGAUAUACAUCUAACAAAUGAAGUCUUGGUCAUCUUACCCAUAAGACAAGAUUCAUAAUUUCUAUAUGAUUCAAAGUCAUAAAGAUAAAAAAACUUUUCUUUAUAUAACUUGUUAAUUUUUGACUCAUUGAUGUGACCA
rnacentral:lncRNA from 1 species